UGGGGAAUUUUGGGCAAUGGGCGAAAGCCUGACCCAGCAACGCCGCGUGAAGGAUGAAGUAUUUCGGUAUGUAAACUUCGAAAGAAUAGGAAGAAUAAAUGACGGUACUAUUUAUAAGGUCCGGCUAACUACGUGCCAGCAGCCGCGGUAAUACGUAGGGACCAAGCGUUGUUCGGAUUUACUGGGCGUAAAGCGUGCGCAGGCGGCGACAUAAGACAGAUGUGAAAUCCCCGGGCUCAACCUGGGAACUGCGUUUGUGACUGUGUUGCUAGAGUGUAGCAGAGGGGGUGGAAUUCCACGUGUAGCAGUGAAAUGCGUAGAGAUGUGGAGGAACACCGAUGGCGAAGGCAGCCCCCUGGGUUAACACUGACGCUCAUGCACGAAAGCGUGGGGAGCAAACAGGAUUAGAUACCCUUGUAGUCCCUGAGCGGGCUGGCAAGGCGCAU
rnacentral:rRNA from 1 species